UCUUAGGACAACAAAGAAGCUUUCAUGGAUCUGCAAAUACAGGAAAUCUCAGAGGUAAUUAUCUGAGACUCGGGGAGAAGCUAGUGUCUUCUGUCUUGGCAUGAUCUUACCUUUUGCCCUUGUUGGUUUCUUUCAGAAUCUGUAAGACUCAGGGGAAGACACCUAUAAUGGGAAGCCAGCUCCGCUGAGAGGGAGGUAUCAGGCCUUCUGUCUACGAGCAGUCAGGGUCUUCUGCCAACGGACUUCUGAAGGCGUAGAACCUUUAUCUCAUCCUGCCGCUCCUUCCCCUUUGGCCCAGGCAGCUUUGGAGACAGUUAUGAAUAGAGGAAAAGUCAAGAAAAGUCAAAGGAGCAAAGUGGGAAGGUUGGAUCCUCAGAGAAUAAAGAAGUUGUCUAAAUAUAAAUCUACACCCCGAGAGAUCUACUGAACAUCUGGACAACCUCACAUCAUACCAUCUCAAGAUGGCGACUGCUGCAUCGCUACAGAGAAACACCACAAAGCAGUCAGUUCAGGCAAAUACUAAGUGCUGGAGGCGGAAGAUAUGAACGUGCCACUGACACUCAGGAGGUUGCCAGUGUCACUGGGGCUAAACGGGAGGCAUUUCUGCCUACCGAGCACAUGUUUCUUUGAUAGAGUUUGCUAAGUCCAAGAGGUCUCUGAGAAAGUACUGACUCCAUAUUAAAGGAGCCAUAUUUUGAUUCAUACAAAGAAAAGACCUUUUGUGUGGCACAGCAAUGUGGAGGAAGGAUACUGGUGCUUGCUUCCUGGCUCAGCUGCUUUCAGUGCUGUGGCCUUGGGCAUUCCCCAAACCUUCCGAUGCUUGGGUUUCAUCUGUAAAAUAGAGGUAAUAACAGCGGCCGGUUGCUGGGAGGACUAAUCAAACGGAGCACACAAUGACUUCAUGCAGAAGUUCUCUGAGACUGCAGGCCAGCGUUAUUAACCUCAUUACUGGCAACGCUGGAGUGACUAAUGAAUUUCCACUUCACAGGGCUUUUUUAUUUUUAGCUUCAUCCUGCUGAAAGUCAAAAAAAAAAAAGAAAAGGUUUUCCUUUUUUCAACUAAUAGGAAACGAGGCUGACUGAUCCUAGAAGGUGAGAACUGGAAGAGACCUUGGCGGUAUCAGGUCCAGCUUCCUCAUCUUACAAAUGAGUGUGAGAGGAGAAGUGACAGGCUCAAGUUCUCCUGGGACAGAAGCAGGUCUGGAAUAAGUCAAGUCCUGGGUGGUUUCUUUCCUAGCCUGUAACAACGCUUCCUGCGCAGUGGUUAAAUCCUGUCUAAUUCUUUGUCUCUCACUUGAGAUAACUCAGAAAUUGGCCGGGACUGUGUACCUAGGGAAGGCUGACCAGUGCUGAGGAAAACAAACUAUUAUUCUUAUUAAAAACACUUUUAACAA